rnacentral:ncRNA from 1 species
UGUAACGACUAAUAUGGAAGGUACUGGAUAAUCCAGAGCAAAACUUCCAUUAUACGCCGGACAUCCUUGUUCAAGGAUGGUGGUAUAGUCUAAAGUUUGCAAAAGCAAAUUCGGAGCUGUUCCAUUAAGUUGGGAAACGAGCGCAACCCUCACCGUAUGUUAAAUAAUUCAUACGGAACAGCCCCGCCUUAUGGCGGGGAGGAAGGCGAGGAUGACGUCAAGUCAGCACGGUUCUUACGCCCUGGGCCACAAACACACUACAAUGGCGAAAAACAACGAGAUGCAAGUCGGUAACGGCAAGCUAAUCUCUGAAAUUUCGCCUCAGUUCAGAUUGGGGUCUGCAAUUCGACCCCAUGAAGUCGGAA